rnacentral:lncRNA from 1 species
UUAUUGCAAGAAAACACAUAAAAUAUUUAAAAAAUAAAUGCAAGUUUGGAAUAAAUGAAAUGUGGCCAAAUCUCCCUCUCUCUCUCCUUUGCUUUGUGCAAUAUUCAUUACUAUUCUAGGAAAUUGUUUGAUGUAUGAAUGCCAUUAACCCCAAACUUGGACACCCUCCACAACCAAAACUAAUUCUAGGAUGUCUUUUUGUCUUCAUCAACCUCUUCCACAACAAUUGCUUCCUCAUCCCAUGAUGUUUUUAUAACCAUAGUUGGAGCCCCCCAUUGGAGGAUCAAAAGCACAAAACCCACGUAAAAUUUGUACAUCAUGUUGCCAAACAAUGUAUUUAUAAAGACCACAACACAAGGUUAUAACAGCCCAAGCUCCUAAUGACUCCAUGGUCAAAGACAGUUUUACGCUGUACAACUUGUUUGUGCUUGUAAGAUGGUGCUCGAUGAGGAUUCACUUCAUUAACUGCAGCUUUAUAAGUUUAUUCUUAUUUUUUUUAUUAUUAUUAUAGCUCUGGUGCCUGACACAAAGCAAUUUUUGUGGUGCAGGAAACAAUGGUAAGUAGAGUAGUUGGAGCAGGUGAGAUUAUGAGCAAAUGAGCCUCCACCACAAGUUCAUCACAACAAUGCCCUCCUGAUGCAAUGUAACUUCACUUCCCUCUGCUCAACUCCACUUUCAUUUUUUUAAUAUAUUGGCAGCCAAAAUCAGGAACCACCAUGUUUGCUUACAAAGCCUAUUUCAGCUUCAAGUGUAGUUGAUAUUACCUUUGUGUGGAUAUGUCCAUGUCGGAUGGAUACAUGGCCAAAUUUCUUGUCACUCACACCCCAAAUUGGCCAAGGAGGAUUUACUUUUUAUAUUUUAUUUUUUUAUUAUUGCAAGCGGAUGUCACAAUCCAUGAAGAGCACAAGGCAACAAAACCCUAAUUCUUUGCACACUUGGAUUUAGGGUUAGCAAUGUGGUGGGGUCGUCACAAAAAUCACCAGAAAAUCCAUGUCUCUAGCUUGCUUGCUUGCUUGCUUGUAGUAAUGCCACAAUUGGAUUCUCAAGUGGUAAGCCCUACUUCAUUGCUGCUACAGUGCUGAUGCUGCUGCAGCUUCUGUGCCACUGGAGUGUACCACUGGAGCUCCAACAUCACAUCUGACCUAGAAUGGAUAUUUUACCCACUGAUAAUUCCACUGCAACACUCUCUCACACACACAUGCACACUCUCAUACACACCAAGGGUGAAGGACAUACACCUCACCCAUUGUCAACCCUAAAUGUCAACCCAUAGAUUUUAGUCUUGAUUUUUGAAUCUUAAUUGCUGAAGCUUAGUUAAAUAUGUAAUUUGAACAGGAAUAGAGUAUAUGUAUAUAUAUAUAUAUAUAUAUGUGUGUGUGUGUGUGUGAUGAUUUCUUUCUUGGGUAGUGGUCAUGUUAUUUUAAAUUAUUGUGAGUAUUACAUUCUUAAAAUGUUUAUUAUUGUAUUGAGUGUUACACUCUGUAAGUAUUUUUUUUCUAUGUUGGGCAUUGUGUUCAAAUGUUUUUAUUUGCAUUACAGGAAGCCAAUGACAAGUGACAGUUGAAAAACAUUGGUUUCAUAGUUGCAGAUACUGCAUUAUAAUUUUCUUUGAAAAACCAUCAACAAUAUACAAAUAUAGUUCACAUUUUAGGUCAGAUAGUAAGUUUAUUAUCUAUUAAUAAUGACUAUAUAUAUAUAUGUAUUAUUAUUUAUAAAUAAUGAGAAUAUAUUUGCGAAAUUUUAUAAAUUCUAUCCACUAUUGCAUUUAAUUUUAGAGUAAUAAAGAUCUUUUAUUAUUAUUGCUAAUAAUAUAAAUUUUGUAACUAAUAGACAUAUAAGGUAAUUUCCUAAAGAUCCUAUUUAAAUAGUUAUCAAUAAGUAUUGUGAAAUCUUUAUGAAUCUUGGUAUGAUUAAGGUUGUUCUCAAAGGGAACUAUUUGUAUUUGAUGGUUGAUUUUCUUUGUUUAGUAUGAUGACAUUAGAUAACUUGCAAACAUGGACAAUUUACAAAUGUAUUCUUUUUGUAUAUUGGUAUAGACUAAUUGUAUAACAAUAAUAACAUGUUUUGAUGUAUUCUCUUAACUAUAAUAAAACAAAAUAUUCAUCUAAUAUAGUAUUUUAAAUAAUCUAGAUCAAAAGAAUUUCAGGUCUAAUCAUCUAUAAAAAUAAAUAUAAUUAUAUUUCUUUCUGUUCUUUGUGACUUUAUUUUAUUUCUGAAAUUGAAUCCAAUUCUUUUUUACAAAAUGUCUAUUACAAACAGUUUCACUUUGAUAAUCUAAAACCUUUGCAUUAAGAAGGACAGAUGUUAUCAUCAACACCAUCAAAAUACUACAUGUUUCUAAAAUAUCAUCAUACAAAACUUUCACAAAGUGUGUGCACAUUUUUAGCUUUAAUUUAGUUACGCAUCUGUUUAACACUGUUGACAACAUUACAAACCAUACAAAUCAAUAUAAACAGAAUCCUUCCAUUUAGAACUAUAUAUAUAUAUAUAUAUAUAUAAAUAAAUAUAUAUUUAUCAAAAAACAAACUACAGUGUUUUUGACUCCAAUUUAGUUCUGUUGUUUUAUUUUUAUUAUUAUUUUUUUUCAAGAGGAUCACUUGGAGAGUGGGCCUGACUGACUGACAGUCUGUCUGUGAGUUUGUCUGAGGAUGAUGAAUCCAAUCCUCAACAUCAGAAAUGGGUACAAAGCACCAGAAAAUGUGUUCAUUCAUGAAGGUGGCUGAGUGCUGAUUCACACAAGAUCUUGCCUCACUCACUGCAGGUUGGUUGUUGAACCCACUGCACCUCAUUACUGGGGUUGUUGGAGCCCAGAUCACAAGACCAAAAGUAAAAUCCGAAACCCUAAAAAUAUAUAUAUAUAAAUCCCCAUUUGACUUUACCAAGUCUAUUAAAAGGCUGCAAAAAACUGUUUGUGGGUCAUGGACAAUGGAAAGUCUUUCCUAUGGACAAGGCUCUUGCAAGAAGGUGUGAUCUUUGCUAUGAGGCUUUCAUAAUCCUAAGCCCAUUUUUUUUUAUUUUUUUUGUCUUUGGUGUAUGGCUUUCGCCAUGUGCCUUGGCAUUCAUUCCAGUAUGUUAGGCCCUUUUCAUUGUUAGGGUGAUUGAGUAUCCCACUUUUUUUCUGUGGCAGUUUUCCUCAUGUUCACUGCUUCUUCAAAUAGAGUAAUGGUUAAAAAUAUGUGGGUAUGUUGUAGACAAUGCUUAGUGCAUUGAUUGAUGACAAUUUGUGAUACAUUUCUUCCACAAAAAAGAUUAUGUGUUUCUAUGUUGUUUGAUAGUUGUUUGUUUGUUCUUUCUUCUUCUUAAAACAUAGGUUGGUAAACCCCCAUUCUAUAAAGUUUGAAAUGCAUUAGAUAGCAGGAUUUUAACAUUUUUUUAAGGAUUAGGAAUAGAUUAUAUACAAAACUUAGAAAGUAAAAUUUUGUUGCACCAAAUGGUUUUAUUUAUGACUAUCAUGCUUAGUUUUUUCACUCUAAUAUAUGAAUCUUCAAAUUGUUACAAAAUUGCAUAAAUUUCUUUAAGAAAUAUUUGCAUAUCUUUUGUAGGAUUGUACAUCUAUUGGCUUUACUAUCAUCUGUAAGGCAGUUCUAUACAAUUACUUCUAUUUAAAACUUCUCCAUAACUUAUCCUCAAAGAUCUUAGCAUUGCAUUGUUCUUAUUUGACCCAAGAACAAGCAUUUACAAUGAAGGGCCAUAAAAGAAUUUGUGCCCUUAAUUUAGAUGAGAAAUUCUCCUGAAAAAAC